AUUUUGGACAAUGGGCGAAAGCCUGAUCCAGCAAUGCCGCGUGAGUGAAGAAGGCCUUCGGUUAGUAAAGCUCUUUUGUCAGGGAAGAAACGGUGAGGGCUAAUAUCCCUUGCUAAUGACGGUACCUGAAGAAUAAGCAACGGCUAACUACGUUCCAGAAGCAGCGGUAAUACGUAGGGUGCAAGCGUUAAUCGGAAUUACUGGGCGUAAAGCGUGCGCAGGCGGUUUUGUAAGUCUGAUGUGAAAUCCCCGGGCUCAAACUGGGAAUUGCAUUGGAGACUGCAAGGCUAGAAUCUGGCAGAGGGGGGUAGAAUUCCACGUGUAGCAGUGAAAUGCGUAGAUAUGUGGAGGAACACCGAUGGCGAAGGCAGCCCCCUGGGUCAAGAUUGACGCUCAUGCACGAAAGCGUGGGGAGCAAACA
rnacentral:rRNA from 1 species